UCAAUGAAUCAAUAGCUCAGUCUCCCGGAA
rnacentral:piRNA from 1 species